UGCGUCAUGACCGACACACAACGCCGGCUAGCAAUCGCCUUCGUGGCUGCAGCCCUUGCAAGCACAGCUUAUGGAGGGUGGUGCCAGCGGACUCUGUGCACGUCUGUGAGAGAACGUGAAUGUAUCUUCAGAACAUGGCUGGAGUGCUGUCUCUACAGGAUUGUAUGGAGGACGGUUGUAAAGACAGAACGGUUCUGCUGCACAGGCUUCCGGGGCAGA